rnacentral:rRNA from 1 species
UACGUAGGUGGCAAGCGUUGUCCGGAUUUAUUGGGUUUAAAGGGCGCGCAGGCGGCCAUUCAAGUCAGGCGUGAAAGCCCCGGGCUUAACCUGGGAGGUGCGCUUGGGACUGGGUGGCUAGAGAUCGGGAGAGGAGAGUGGAAUUCCCAGUGUAGAGGUGAAAUUCGUAGAUAUUGGGAAGAACACCGGUGUCGAAGGCGGCUCACUGGCUCGGUACUGACGCUGAGGUGCGAAAGCGUGGGGAGCAAACAGG